CCUCUUGGUGUAGUAUAUUAAUAACCCCAAACAUGAUGCACAUCUAGUUCAUUAAAUUGAUACAUCUUGAAACUAAUCCCAGCUCUCUGAAACUGCAGUGUGACAAGUUACAGGGACAAUUUUUGGUCCAAUCCUUACAUAUCUUUCAUUUCAGAUUCAUUGUUUGCUAGGAGAUGGUGCAGCAUUGAGAAUCCAUCUUCAGAUAGACUGAUGGUACGGGAUGACAUCUAGUGAACAGCUCGGUGAUUGAGAUAAUGGAGCAACUUCUACAGAACGAAGUGUACGAGCGCAAUCCAAGGAAUGGGAGACACGGGUACGGCAUGAAGGGCAGUUUAUCGUGAAGAUUAAUAAACGCAGAUAGAUUCCAACUGGAAGCAUCGUCAUCCUUGGUAUCAAGUUCGCAACAAAGAUGGAUAUUAAACGUAAUGAUCUUGAAGCUAGAUUUUUUUAGCUGUAUAUAACAAACUGGAUUGUUACUGUAUGUAAAUAACUUUGCAACUUUGGAAUGGUGAAACAAUUUUUUUCCAUAACCUUUUAAGUACAUUUAUAUUGCCAGUUGGUUAAAUUUAUGCAGCACCUGAUCCGACCUAAGUAAACCUACUGUGGACAUGUAUAUUUUUGAUAGUUGUGUAUAAACUCGAAUAAAAGUUCAUUGGACUUUC